rnacentral:rRNA from 1 species
AGCAGCCGCGGUAAUUCCAGCUCCAAUAGCGUAUAUUAAAGUUGUUGCAGUUAAAAAGCUCGUAGUUGAAUUUCGGGGUCAGUAGGCUGGUCAUGCCACUGGUAUGUACUGGUCUCACUGAUUCCUCCUUCCUGAUGAGCCGUGAUGCCAUUAAUUUGGUGUUGCGAGGAAUCUGGACUGUUACUUUGAAAAAUUAGAGUGUUUAAAGCAGGCUAACGCUUGAAUACAUUAGCAUGGAAUAAUGAAAUAGGACGUUCGAUCUUAUUUUGUUGGUUUCUAAGAUUGACGUAAUGAUUAAUAGGGAUAGUUGGGGCAUUAGUAUUCAAUUGUCAGAGGUGAAAUUCUUGGAUUUUAUUGAAGACUAACUACUGCGAAAGCAUUUGCCAAGGAUGUUUUCAUUAAUCAAGAACGAAAGUUAGGGGAUCGAAGACGAUCAGAUACCGUCGUAGUACUUAACCAUAAACUAU